GUGUGAAAGUCAUUUUAGCUAUGUUUUAAUUAAGGUGGGACAUUAUGUCUAAUGAAGGCCAAACAAGUAAAUAUCCGUCUCUGAGAGACGCUGCAAAUGGUCACUUGUUGAUUACGUUCUAUUUCCACUUUCUAUAAGCUCCGCCUACUUACGAAUGUAAUCAGCAGCUGCGACCUCAUUUGAAUAUACUAUUUAUUCAUGUUGUCAGCACUGUUUCAUUACAGUUUCGUACCCUUUCAGUCUUAAACACUUUCUCAGUCGAACUUUUCUUUCUCCAAUUCGUCAAAAGUCGCUUUCGUCAGUACCCAAACUUACUAGCAAGUUUGUGUUGACAUUCGAAGUAAGAUGGGACAUAAAAUAUCCCGUUGUCCUCCUGUGUACAGAAGAGAAAAA